GUGACUCUAGUUCAGACAACAGUGUAAUCAGUUUGACCAUAAGUUGGAUUUAUGUUCUGAUCUUGACUGAAGCUUCGACCUAGUCAGAGUUUGCACAAUCAGCCAGUCCAGUCUGCAUCAUGUGCAUCAUAGCAUAUUUAUUUUUCAAAAGAAACGCAUUGAAAAAAAAACAAUCAAAAAAAAAAAGAAAAAAAAAAGAAAAAAAACUAAUCUCUGCAUGCAUAUCAUUUCUCAGGUACAUUCCCGAGCUUGUCUACUGAUAGAGAUGGCAACAGUUCCUG
rnacentral:lncRNA from 1 species